rnacentral:rRNA from 1 species
UUAAGCGACUAAGCGUACACGGUGGAUGCCCUGGCAGUCAGAGGCGAUGAAGGACGUGCUAAUCUGCGAAAAGCGACGGCGAGGUGAUAUGAACCUUUGACCCGUCGAUGUCCGAAUGGGGAAACCCAGUGCAAUCCGUUGCACUAUCGUUAACUGAAUACAUAGGUUAACGAGGCGAACCGGGGGAACUGAAACAUCUAAGUACCCCGAGGAAAAGAAAUCAACCGAGAUUCCCCCAGUAGCGGCGAGCGAACGGGGAGCAGCCCGGAGUCUGAAUCAGCUUGUGUGUUAGUGGAACGGUCUGGAAAGUCCGACGGUACAGGGUGAUAGUCCCGUACACGAAAACACACUUGUUGUGAACUCGAAGAGUAGGGCGGGACACGUGGUAUCCUGUCUGAAUAUGGGGGGACCAUCCUCCAAGGCUAAAUACUCCUGACUGACCGAUAGUGAACCAGUACCGUGAGGGAAAGGCGAAAAGAACCCCGGCGAGGGGAGUGAAAAAGAACCUGAAACCGUGUACGUACAAGCAGUGGGAGCCUCUUUAUGGGGUGACUGCGUACCUUUUGUAUAAUGGGUCAGCGACUUAUAUUCUGUAGCAAGGUUAACCGUAUAGGGGAGCCGAAGGGAAACCGAGUCUUAACUGGGCGUUAAGUUGCAGGGUAUAGACCCGAAACCCGGUGAUCUAGCCAUGGGCAGGUUGAAGGUUGGGUAACACUAACUGGAGGACCGAACCGACUAAUGUUGAAAAAUUAGCGGAUGACCUGUGGCUGGGGGUGAAAGGCCAAUCAAACCGGGAGAUAGCUGGUUCUCCCCGAAAGCUAUUUAGGUAGCGCCUCGUGAAUUCAUCUUCGGGGGUAGAGCACUGUUUCGGCUAGGGGGCCAUCCCGGCUUACCAACCCGAUGCAAACUACGAAUACCGAAGAAUGUUAUCACGGGAGACACACGGCGGGUGCUAACGUCCGUCGUGAAGAGGGAAACAACCCAGACCGCCAGCUAAGGUCCCAAAGUCAUGGUUAAGUGGGAAACGAUGUGGGAAGGCACAGACAGCCAGGAUGUUGGCUUAGAAGCAGCCAUCAUUUAAAGAAAGCGUAAUAGCUCACUGGUCGAGUCGGCCUGCGCGGAAGAUGUAACGGGGCUAAACCAUGCACCGAAGCUGCGGCAGCGACACUAUGUGUUGUUGGGUAGGGGAGCGUUCUGUAAGCCGUUGAAGGUGGCCUGUGAGGGUUGCUGGAGGUAUCAGAAGUGCGAAUGCUGACAUAAGUAACGAUAAAGCGGGUGAAAAGCCCGCUCGCCGGAAGACCAAGGGUUCCUGUCCAACGUUAAUCGGGGCAGGGUGAGUCGACCCCUAAGGCGAGGCCGAAAGGCGUAGUCGAUGGGAAACAGGUUAAUAUUCCUGUACUUGGUGUUACUGCGAAGGGGGGACGGAGAAGGCUAUGUCAGCCGGGCGACGGUUGUCCCGGUUUAAGCAUGUAGGCGGAGGUUCCAGGUAAAUCCGGUACCUUUUAACGCUGAGGUGUGAUGACGAGGCACUACGGUGCUGAAGUGAUAAAUGCCCUGCUUCCAGGAAAAGCCUCUAAGCAUCAGGUAACACGAAAUCGUACCCCAAACCGACACAGGUGGUCAGGUAGAGAAUACCAAGGCGCUUGAGAGAACUCGGGUGAAGGAACUAGGCAAAAUGGUGCCGUAACUUCGGGAGAAGGCACGCUGAUAUGUAGGUGAAGUCCCUGCGGACGGAGCUGAAAUCAGUCGAAGAUACCAGCUGGCUGCAACUGUUUAUUAAAAACACAGCACUGUGCAAACACGAAAGUGGACGUAUACGGUGUGACGCCUGCCCGGUGCCGGAAGGUUAAUUGAUGGGGUUAGCGGCAACGCGAAGCUCUUGAUCGAAGCCCCGGUAAACGGCGGCCGUAACUAUAACGGUCCUAAGGUAGCGAAAUUCCUUGUCGGGUAAGUUCCGACCUGCACGAAUGGCGUAAUGAUGGCCAGGCUGUCUCCACCCGAGACUCAGUGAAAUUGAACUCGCUGUGAAGAUGCAGUGUACCCGCGGCAAGACGGAAAGACCCCGUGAACCUUUACUAUAGCUUGACACUGAACACUGGUCCUUGAUGUGUAGGAUAGGUGGGAGGCUUUGAAGCGUGGACGCCAGUCUGCGUGGAGCCAACCUUGAAAUACCACCCUUUAAUGGCUGGUGUUCUAACGUAGACCCGUAAUCCGGGUUGCGGACAGUGUCUGGUGGGUAGUUUGACUGGGGCGGUCUCCUCCCAAAGAGUAACGGAGGAGCACGAAGGUUGGCUAAUCCUGGUCGGACAUCAGGAGGUUAGUGCAAUGGCAUAAGCCAGCUUGACUGCGAGCGUGACGGCGCGAGCAGGUGCGAAAGCAGGUCAUAGUGAUCCGGUGGUUCUGAAUGGAAGGGCCAUCGCUCAACGGAUAAAAGGUACUCCGGGGAUAACAGGCUGAUACCGCCCAAGAGUUCAUAUCGACGGCGGUGUUUGGCACCUCGAUGUCGGCUCAUCACAUCCUGGGGCUGAAGUAGGUCCCAAGGGUAUGGCUGUUCGCCAUUUAAAGUGGUACGCGAGCUGGGUUUAGAACGUCGUGAGACAGUUCGGUCCCUAUCUGCCGUGGGCGCUGGAGAAUUGAGGGGGGCUGCUCCUAGUACGAGAGGACCGGAGUGGACGCAUCACUGGUGUUCGGGUUGUCAUGCCAAUGGCACUGCCCGGUAGCUAAAUGCGGAAGAGAUAAGUGCUGAAAGCAUCUAAGCACGAAACUUGCCCCGAGAUGAGUUCUCCCUGAGACUUUAAGUCUCCUGAAGGAACGUUGAAGACGACGACGUUGAUAGGUCGGGUGUGUAAGCGCAGCGAUGCGUUGAGCUAACCGAUACUAAUGAACCGUGAGGCUUAACCUU